CAGACGUUGAUCUAAUUAGGAGCAUGUUUUCUAACAUGUCGUUAAUCAUCUGGGGAUUGUUAGGGGGGUCUAGGAACAGCGAUGGUUGACUGUUAAAUUGGACACCCUAGACAUUUGAUUUGGGAGAAAGGACCAUUGGUCUCUCUACGGACGUUGGCUUGGUGAAGUCUUUUGGUAUGCAGAUUAUGACUUUAAAAUGACCAUUAGGAUUAUGAGCAGGGGUUCACAUCAAGGGGAAGCGAAACAUUUAAAGAACAAACGGCAGAUAUUUGAAACCAAGUGCUCAACGAACUCUUACAAUUCUUAUGAUAAUAAAAGCACAUACAUAUCAGAAGUAUGCCUUUUUAUUGAAACACUAGAACUAACCUGUGUCUUACUUAUGAUUAAGAGCGACAUUGAUACAAACUUCAAACUUUCCGUCCUUCGAAACCAAAUUAAUUCGGAGUCAAUGAGAACACCGUAGCAGACAGCAAUUAGAAGUGCAAAUUUGUGCACCAAGUGUUGUGAACGUCGGCAAAACGAUGGAUGCAUUAGAGAAGCAUCGUCUAGCCUAUCAGGACAUUCUGAAGCUGUUUGUGCAGAAGAUACUUUAAAGACCUUAAUCUUGUACAUUAUCAAAGUAUGCAAUUAGAUACUUUGUUAUGUAAUACUUUAAUUAGAAUAUUUACAUGUGCUCUCAACCUGCUGUUAGAAUGAUUCACGGGAUCGUCUUCAUUUGCUAGUCGUGCUCAAAUCUUCAAAAUUUAAACAGUUUGGCUAAUUUU